ACGAACGCUGGCGGUGUGCUUAACACAUGCAAGUCGAACGGUAAGGCCCUUUCGGGGGUACACGAGUGGCGAACGGGUGAGUAACACGUGAGUAACCUGCCCUCAUCUCUGGGAUAACAGUCGGAAACGGUUGCUAAUACUGGAUAUGAGCUUGCAAGGCAUCUUGUGGGUUGGAAAGAUUUUUUUUGGUUGGGGAUGGACUCGCGGCCUAUCAGCUUGUUGGUGAGGUAGUGGCUCACCAAGGCUUCGACGGGUAGCCGGCCUGAGAGGGCGACCGGCCACAUUGGGACUGAGAUACGGCCCAAAUUCCUACGGGAGGCAGCAGUGGGGAAUAUUGCACAAUGGACGGAAGUCUGAUGCAGCAACGCCGCGUGCGGGAUGACGGCCUUCGGGUUGUAAACCGCUUUCAAUUGUGACGAAGCUUUUUUGUGACGGUAGCAGUAGAAGAAGCACCGGCUAACUCCGUG
rnacentral:rRNA from 1 species